GAUGAACGCUAGCGGCAGGCUUAACACAUGCAAGUCGAGGGGUAUAGGUUUUCGGACCUAGAGACCGGCGCACGGGUGCGUAACGCGUAUGCAAUCUACCUUUCACAGAGGGAUAGCCCAGAGAAAUUUGGAUUAAUACCUCAUAGUAUAGCAGUUUCGCAUGAAACCACUAUUAAAGUAUCAACGGUGAAAGAUGAGCAUGCGUCCCACUAGCUAGAUGGUAAGGUAACGGCUUACCAUGGCUACGAUGGGUAGGGGUCCUGAGAGGGAGAUACCCCACACGGGUACUGAGACACGGACCAGACUCCUACGGGAGGCAGCAGUGAGGAAUAUUGGUCAAUGGACGCAAGUCUGAACCAGCCAUGCCGCGUGCAGGAUGACGGUCCUAUGGAUUGUAAACUGCUUUUGUACGAGAAGAAACAACACUACGUGUAAUGUCUUGACGGUAUCGUAAGAAUAAGGAUCGGCUAACUCCGUGCCAGCCGCCGCAGUAAGAC
rnacentral:rRNA from 1 species